GGGGAUAUAGCUUACUGGUAUAGCACUUUUUUUGCGAAAAAGAAAAUUUCGGUUCAAUUCCGAAUAUCUCCA
rnacentral:tRNA from 1 species